AUCGCUUCUUGGCCUUUUGGCUAAGAUCAAGUGUAGUAAAAUUACUGAUAUUCUGGAUAUUGUGUUGUACUUUUAUAGGCAUUAAAUCUUU
rnacentral:snRNA from 1 species